AGACCAGACAGGGAGGUGGGAAUUCAUGACCAUGCAGAACACAACUCAUAUCUUUCUCUUGCAGUCAUGCACUUAGAUUAUAUUUAACCUUUAUUUAACAAGGUAAGUCAGUUAAGAACAAAUACUUAUUUGGACAGCCUAGGAACAGUGGGUUUAACUGCCUUGUUCAGGGGGCAGAACGACAGAUUUUUACCUUGUCAGCUCAGGGAUUCGAUCCAGCAACCUUUCAGUUACUAGUCCAACGCUCUAACCACUAGGCUACCCUGCCGCCCCAAAUAAUAAGCAUAAAGGUAGCCUAUGAGGUUUAAAGUAAAUUAUUGUUGUCCUUCUACAAACCUUGUAUUUCACAACAUUCCUUGUCCUGGGGGCGUAGACGACUAAAACCCAGGAACUGUCUGACCCGCCAUAAAACACUGUUGUCCUCACAACAUUUACCUCCGUUCAGACGACCAAACUGUAUUUCCUUCCACCUGCGACUGGUUCCUUUUCCUCCGGGAGGGAAAAAACGGGGGGCUUAGAAUAAAGAGAGAAUUCCUGAUCAGUGUUGAAUUAAUCCGUCUAUAAUUAAAGAUAUGAUUCGCUCUAAUCCUGCAGCCUUUUCAUCGCCGCGAUUAACAAAACGCAAAGAAACAGCAGGUAUAAUACCAGCAGGAUGUAAAGCAACCAGGUGGUUUAAUACCAGCAGCAUUAACAGGAUGUAAAGUAACCAGGUGGUUUAAUACCAGCAGCAUUAACAGGAUGUAAAGCAACCAGGUGGUUUAAUACCAGCAGCAUUAACAGGAUGUAAAGCAACCAGGUGGUUUAAUACCAGCAGCAUUAACAGGAUGUAAAGCAACCAGGUGGUUUAAUACCAGCAGCAUUAACAGGAUGUAAAGCAACCAGGUGGUUUAAUACCAGCAGCAUUAACAGGAUGUAAAGUAACCAGGUGGUUUAAUACCAGCAGCAUUAACAGGAUGUAAAGUAACCAGGUGGUUUAAUACCAGCAGCAUUAACAGGAUGUAAAGUAACCAGGUGGUAUAAUACCAGCAGGAUGUAAAGUAACCAGGUGGUAUAAUACCAGCAGCAUUAACAGGAUGUAAAGCAACCAGGUGGUUUAAUACCAGCAGCAUUAACAGGAUGUAAAGCAACCAG
rnacentral:lncRNA from 1 species